UACGUAGGGUGCAAGCGUUAAUCGGAAUUAUUUGGGCGUAAAGAGCUUGUAGGCGGUUUGUCGCGUCUGCUGUGAAAAUCCGGGGCUCAACCCCGGACUUGCAGUGGGUACGGGCAGACUAGAGUGUGGUAGGGGAGACUGGAAUUCCUGGUGUAGCGGUGAAAUGCGCAGAUAUCAGGAGGAACACCGAUGGCGAAGGCAGGUCUCUGGGCCACUACUGACGCUGAGAAGCGAAAGCAUGGGGAGCGAACAGG
rnacentral:rRNA from 1 species